rnacentral:lncRNA from 1 species
GGCUCUAGCGGGCGACCGAUCAGGACGAAGAUUUGACACGACUGUUCUAUGGAUGCUUAUUAUUAUGACUGGAUAAACAAUAAAAAAUAAAUAAAUAGUGGGGGGAGGGCCUAGAAAAUACCAGUCAACGAACUCUCCCUCCUGGGACGAGACGUUGACCUGGAAUCCGUGGACGAUGGCGGCCAACGAUAGCACUGUCCGGUGAUAUCGACCGUUCGAUCUGAGGAAUGGAAAGAAUCGACAGGAGCGGAAUGGAGUCUCUACGGCGGCG